GUGCUUGCUUUGGCAGCACAUAUAGUAAAACUGGAACGAUACAGAGAAGAUUAGCAUGGCCCCUGUGCAAGGAUGACACACAAAGUCAUGAAGCAUUCCACAUUUAA